rnacentral:rRNA from 1 species
GAUCCUGGCUCAGGAUGAACGCUGGCGGCGCGCCUAACACAUGCAAGUCGAACGGCACCCCUCUCCGGAGGGAAGCGAGUGGCGAACGGCUGAGUAACACGUGGAGAACCUGCCCCCUCCCCCGGGAUAGCCGCCCGAAAGGACGGGUAAUACCGGAUACCCCGGGGUGCCGCAUGGCACCCCGGCUAAAGCCCCGACGGGAGGGGAUGGCUCCGCGGCCCAUCAGGUAGACGGCGGGGUGACGGCCCACCGUGCCGACAACGGUAGCCGGUGAGAG